UCCUCCCUCUUUCCUCGUGCUUAACACAUGCAAGUCGAACGGAAAGGCCCUGCUUUUGUGGGGUGCUCGAGUGGCGAACGGGUGAGUAACACGUGAGUAACCUGCCCUUGACUUUGGGAUAACGUCAGGAAACUGGGGCUAAUACCGGAUAGGAGCUCCUGCUGCAUGGUGGGGGUUGGAAAGUUUCGGCGGUUGGGGAUGGACUCGCGGCUUAUCAGCUUGUUGGUGGGGUAGUGGCUUACCAAGGCUUUGCCGGGUAGCCGGCCUGAGAGGGUGACCGGCCACAUUGGGACUGAGAUACGGCCCAGAAUCCUACGGGAGGCAGCAGUGGGGAAUAUUGCACAAUGGGGGGAAGCCUGAUGCAGCAACGCCGCGUGCGGGAUGACGGCCUUCGGGUUGUAAACCGCUUUCGCCUGUGACGAAGCGUGAGUGACGGUAAUGGGUAAAGAAGCACCGGCUAACUACGUG
rnacentral:rRNA from 1 species